CCUCACGGAUACUGACACGUCACUUUCUUCAAGUGGCAAUGACCACGGCAGUGGAGUAGAAUCAGGGAUUCCCAUUGGCACACGUACAUCCAGCCCUGAAGUCACAACCAGGCCUCGCACAGAGGUUUCUGAGUCAGAGGCUGCAAAAGAGAUGGUAGAAAAUGCCUUGUUUUGCGAACCUUGGGGUGAGGAUGUCAUUGCAGAGUACAACACAGAAAAGUCACUCACUCACCGCACCCGGAGACGGCUUGUGAACAUUUUGGCUAGCCAUAUGACUGAAAGUCAUGGGUGAGUUUUAAGUGCAUUGUUAGAUUGUGAACAAUGUAUUAAGAAAUACAAUGAAUUUUAAAAAUACAUUACAUUGAAUUAAAGCCAGUGGAGCACUCUUCAAUUGUAUGGUUUGUAUUUUAAGAAUAUGAUCUUUACCUGUUCAUAUGAGCAGUAACAUGUUUUGGAGUUUGACGGUCAGUUGGGGUAUAAACUGAUGUGGAAUGUUGUUUCUUAAGGAGGAUGCCUUCCCGUAAACAUAAGGAGAAGUAUGCCCUGGGAAUGAUAACACUCUUUCCUUCACUAAAGGAUCCUUUUUCUCCAAAGGGCUAUGAGCACUUCUAUGAUGGGGAGAAAGGCACUGGAUAUUUAGCAUGGCGCCUGAAGACCAUGUCCAGGAAUACAGGAAAAAGACCAGCCAAGACAGCUACAGUGGCUCAAGCACAAGGCCCAAAGCGCAGAAGAUUGUCAACCACUUUGCCCGAGCAGCUUGAUGGAGAUGCCUGCAGAGAAGCCAUAUCAUUUCUCAUUCACUCUCGUGAUGAAACAAGUGUGUUUCAGAAGAUGAAGAUGACCUUUCAAUAUCGCCAAGACUUGCAUGACCCACACAGAACGACAGAUGUCUUUAAAACAUUUCCACAGUUUUUAGACGUCAAAGGGCUGGUGAGUUGCCCAGUUCAUUUAUUUACAGUUAACUUUUUUGUUUCUUGGAUGAAAGUACAAUACUCUAACCUUUUUGAAAUGUGUAUUUAUAUGCUUGCAUGAUCAACAGCUUAAUCAAGACUUCAGUCUGCUGUUUGGAGCUGAAACAACUUCCAAGAUGCUGGAGAAGUGGGACACAACUUUCAGGCCCGAGGUUAUCGAUGAGGCCAAACACCUGACUCAGUCAACUGAGCUGUGCCGACUUCUAAAAGCUGCUGAGAAACUGACCGAGAGUGAUG